UGGGGAAUAUUGGACAAUGGGGGAAACCCUGAUCCAGCAAUGCCGCGUGAGUGAAGAAGGCCUUAGGGUUGUAAAGCUCUUUCGCCCGCGAAGAUAAUGACGGUAGCGGGAGAAGAAGCCCCGGCUAAAUCCGUGCCAGCAGCCGCGGUAAUACGGAGGGGGCUAGCGUUGUUCGGAAUUACUGGGCGUAAAGCGUACGUAGGCGGAUGCGCAAGUUGGGGGUGAAAUCCCGGGGCUUAACCUCGGAAUUGCCCUCAAAACUGCACGUCUUGAGACCGAGAGAGGUAAGGGGAAUUCCUAGUGUAGAGGUGAAAUUCGUAGAUAUUAGGAAGAACACCAGUGGCGAAGGCGCCUUACUGGCUCGGUACUGACGCUGAGGUACGAAAGCGUGGGGAGCAAACA
rnacentral:rRNA from 1 species